CCUACGGGAGGCAGCAGUGAGGAAUAUUGGUCAAUGGGCGAGAGCCUGAACCAGCCAAGUAGCGUGAAGGAUGAAGGAACUAUGGGUUGUAAACUUCUUUUAUAUGGGAAUAAAGUGAGGAACGUGUGCCUUUUUGUAUGUACCAUAUGAAUAAGCAUCGGCUAACUCCGUGCCAGCAGCCGCGGUAAUACGGAGGAUGCGAGCGUUAUCCGGAUUUAUUGGGGUUAAAGGGUGCGUAGGUGGUUAGUUAAGUCAGUUGUGAAAGUUUGUGGCUCAACCGUAAAAUUGCCGUUGAAACUGGUAGCCUUGAGUAUAUUUGAGGUAGGCGGAAUGCGUGGUGUAGCGGUGAAAUGCAUAGAUAUCACGCAGAACUCCGAUUGCGAAGGCAGCUUACUAAACUAUCACUGACACUGAAGCUCGAAAGCGUGGGGAUCAAACAGGAUUAGAUACCCGAGUAGUC
rnacentral:rRNA from 1 species